CUCUUUGCAGGAGGCAUGCCCAAGCUUCGGUCUUCAGGAGGGAACGCAACGGAGGCCCUAGGCCCCCCAUGGUACCUCUAGGAGGCCGUUCCUCAGGCCCCAGACCGUUUGGUGGUGGGGGYCCCUCUGCUGGCCCUCCMCGGUUCUCAGGGGCCCCMGCCUUUCCCCGGAGCAGCGCCCCCGACCUCCCCAGGGGACGGGCAGGCCCCCCGCGACCAGAGACCCCWGGCGGACCCCCUCCCCCCGUCCCCAACACCCCACGGCCCAACCAGAGCCGAGGGACCCCGCCUGUUCCAGGAGGAGCCCGGAUCCCCAGCUCAGCCCCGGCCCCUCCUCCACCCAACCUUGCAGGCAGACACCAAGGCCUGCCCCCUCCCCCUGGCCCAAUAGGGGCCCCGUCUGGGCCAAAACCCUCCUUUGGGGCCCCUCCGGUUCCCAGUAGUGGACGUCCCACUCAUCCCCCAGCCCCCCACCCUGGCAGACCCUCAGAGGACCCCUUGCCCCCACCCCCACCCCUGGGGGGCCACCGGUACUCCAUAUCCAGAGAUGGACCCCCACAGCCACCAUCUUUCAACUCCAAGCCCCCCAGCUCGUCUUCCUCUCGGCCCUCCAUCGGCGGUGGUGGAGCUCCCCCUCUUCCUCCUGGCAGACCGGGCCCUCCACUGCUGCCCCCAACGCCUGCGUUAGGAGACACCCCCAGACUACCACAGAGGAAACUUUCACUCAACUCGCCGGCACCCCCACCUGGCCGUUCAGGGCCACUGCCACCCCCUCCCAGUGAGAGGCCGCCCCCCCUGGGUAAAAACCCCUCAGGACGGACGGGCCCGCUCCCUCCUCCUCCUCCCUCCUCAGGUCCACGUGGAGGCAGUAUAAGGUCAUCUCCAGUCCCCUCACCUCCUAACCGCCCGGGAGCAGAGCCCUCCCGUGGGGGACACCGGCCCCCGCUCCCCCCAGACCGACCGGGAAUAGGAGGCCCUCCUCCCCCACCUCCAACCAUGGGCAACGGCUUCCAGAACUCCCAUCCCCAACACGUUGAUGAGUGGGAGGCCCGGUUCCAGUUUCACCCUGUCUCAGACCUCCCUGUCCCAGAGCCUUACAUCUCCUGUCAGAAGACAUACCCCAGCAAGUUGUCCAAGACUGACGGCAUAGGUUCGGAUAAAAAGUUCAGGGGUGCGCCCCCACUACCCCCUAUCCCCAGGUAAAGGGGUCGUUUUUGGGAUGUCUCCCUCCCUCCCUCCGAGUACAUGGAUGUAAGUAUGUCACUCCCACUGCCUCUGUCUAUGAGGCUUAUUACACCUCAUGGAUGAACCAUAUUUGCAGUGGGACUCACGCAACCAUGUGUUUCUGCCUGGAGUUGACAAAAUAUUCUCAUUUAACGAACAGCACCCCAAACCAACCAAAGUGGCAACAGAGGCUCGUUUUAUAGGCUAUGCAUUUGGUUUUGCUCCUCUAUGUAGUGUUGAAACUGUAUACUUUUGUUAUCAUUUUUCACUGUGCCUUUUUUUUCUAUUCUGGAUUGUUAUGAAGGAUCUUUAUCAGACUUAAGGGAAACAUGUUAUGAAGGAUCUUUAUGAGACUUAAGGGAAACAUUCAUGACGGAUGCUGUGCCUGUCUUCGCCAAAGGGCAACCGAACUAUGGCAUAUCAGUUACAUUGUUCUAACCAUCAAAGGGUACUUUUCCAUACAAUCAUGUGCAGUUCAUAGCAUGUCGUGAACUUUGUUUUUACACGGUAGAGACAAAAUGGACGCUUGUGUGUUACAGUAUGCGUGAUUGAACUUUAGGUGAAAAUGUAACGUUUUCUUUUUGCUUUGAUAGAUAGAAAAACAUCCCUCAUGACAGCUGUUAGUUUAAUUUUGUAUGAUUUGAGUUGUUGGGAAGGACUCUUUGUUUUUAUUUUCUAAGUUAUGUGUUUGACAAUGUUUUACUAUACAGUUACAGUAUAUCUUCUGCUUCUGUACUACUGCUCUGGGAUCUCUCCGCUACUUGAUAUUAACAUCAAGCUUGUCUCAGAACCACUUGCAGAGUGACAAUCCAAUAUUUGACCUAUGAAAGUAAAUCAAUAAAAUGUAUUAAAAUGUUAUACAUGAUCCUGAAGUUAUGAUACGAAUGAGUUUGCUCAUAGUGUGUUUAAUGUAUGCAAGGAGGAUUGAAUAUGGAUCAAAAAAUGCUGGCUGUAUGCUGAUGUGUGAGAGAAGUGCUAUGUCAGUGUUUUCUCUGUUCUGUAAAGAAGAUGAUAUGCUUUCUGAAUAGAGAAAUGGGGGAAUGGCAUGAGCAUGUGUGUUUGACCAAAGACAAUGGGCUGCACUAGGACGUAGUCUCAUCCCACAGAGGCAGUGUCUCAGAUACAACUUGCAUUGGAGGCUACGGGACCAAACAACCAGAAACAUCCUGCAGAAAUGGAACGCUUCAAAAAGAGGACCAUUAAAGUUGUGUGUUAGUUCCUCCUCAGGUGACAGACAUAAUGAAUACAUCCUCGUGGGGACAUUUUUCUUUCAGUCUUCUUUCAGAAUGUAUUCUGUCUCUUUGUUCCCUAGUUAUCUCUGUUAACCCAGAAGUCAAAUCUAGCGUAGUUUGGUCAGCGACACGCAGAAACUGCCCACGGGAGAUUAGUUCCCUAUGACAUUUACAAUGGUACUGCAGAGUGCUUUAUGCACUUUGCUUCAAGGGAACUUAUAUAUAAUUUUUUUAUGCAUUCAACUGCGUUUUGUUUCUGCCUUUUGAGUGUAUUUCUUCCUGAUGCUUUUCAAUGUAAAACAAAGCAAACUAUUUCCAAAUGGAUUUUCUAAUAAAGCAAAUAAAGUUGGAAUU